rnacentral:rRNA from 1 species
GACGAACGCUGGCGGCGUGCCUAAUACAUGCAAGUAGAACGCUGAAGGGGGAGCUUGCUUCUCCGGAUGAGUUGCGAACGGGUGAGUAACGCGUAGGUAACCUGCCUGGUAGCGGGGGAUAACUAUUGGAAACGAUAGCUAAUACCGCAUAACAGUAGAUAUUGCAUGAUAUCUGCUUGAAAGGUGCAAAUGCAUCACUACCAGAUGGACCUGCGUUGUAUUAGCUAGUUGGUGAGGUAACGGCUCACCAAGGCGACGAUACAUAGCCGACCUGAGAGGGUGAUCGGCCACACUGGGACUGAGACACGGCCCAGACUCCUACGGGAGGCAGCAGUAGGGAAUCUUCGGCAAUGGACGGAAGUCUGACCGAGCAACGCCGCGUGAGUGAAGAAGGUUUUCGGAUCGUAAAGCUCUGUUGUAAGAGAAGAACGAGUGUGAGAGUGGAAAGUUCACACUGUGACGGUAUCUUACCAGAAAGGGACGGCUAACUACGUGCCAGCAGCCGCGGUAAUACGUAGGUCCCGAGCGUUGUCCGGAUUUAUUGGGCGUAAAGCGAGCGCAGGCGGUUAGAUAAGUCUGAAGUUAAAGGCUGUGGCUUAACCAUAGUACGCUUUGGAAACUGUUUAACUUGAGUGCAAGAGGGGAGAGUGGAAUUCCAUGUGUAGCGGUGAAAUGCGUAGAUAUAUGGAGGAACACCGGUGGCGAAAGCGGCUCUCUGGCUUGUAACUGACGCUGAGGCUCGAAAGCGUGGGGAGCAAACAGG